rnacentral:rRNA from 1 species
UACAGAGGGUGCGAGCGUUAAUCGGAAUUACUGGGCGUAAAGCGUGCGUAGACGGUAGCGUAAGUCAGAUGUGAAAGCCCCGGGCUCAACCUGGGAACUGCAUUUGAGACUGCUCUGCUCGGGUGCGGAAGAGGGAAGCGGAAUUUCCGGUGUAGCGGUGAAAUGCGUAGAUAUCGUGAGGAAGACCAGUGGCGAAGGCGGGUCUCUGGACAGUUCCUGACGCUGAGGCGCGAAGGCCAGGGGAGCAAACGGG